rnacentral:rRNA from 1 species
AGAAUCAACGCUGGCGGCGUGCCUAACACAUGCAAGUCGAACGAGAAAGUGGAGCAAUCCAUGAGUAAAGUGGCGCACGGGUGAGUAACACGUGACUAACCUACCCUUGAGUGGGGGAUAACCUAGAGAAAUCUGGGCUAAUACCGCAUAAUACCUUCGGGUCAAAGGAGCAAUUCGCUUAAGGAGGGGGUCGCGGCCGAUUAGUUAGUUGGCGGGGUAAUGGCCCACCAAGACUAUGAUCGGUAUCCGGCCUGAGAGGGCGCACGGACACACUGGAACUGAAACACGGUCCAGACUCCUACGGGAGGCAGCAGUGGGGAAUUUGCGCAAUGGGGGAAACCCUGACGCAGCAACGCCGCGUGGAGGAUGAAGUCCCUUGGGACGUAAACUCCUUUCGAUCGGGACGAUAAUGACGGUACCGAGAGAAGAAGCCCCGGCUAACUUCGUGCCAGCAGCCGC